rnacentral:rRNA from 1 species
UGCUGGAGGUAUCAGAAGUGCGAAUGCUGACAUAAGUAACGAUAAAGCGGGUGAAAAGCCCGCUCGCCGGAAGACCAAGGGUUCCUGUCCAACGUUAAUCGGGGCAGGGUGAGUCGACCCCUAAGGCGAGGCCGAAAGGCGUAGUCGAUGGGAAACGGGUUAAUAUUCCCGUACUUGGUGUUACUGCGAAGGGGGGACGGAGAAGGCUAUGUUGGCCGGGCGACGGUUGUCCCGGUUUAAGCGUGUAGGUGUGUGUUCCAGGUAAAUCCGGUUCACUUUAACACUGAGGCGUGAUGACGAGGCACUACGGUGCUGAAGCAACAAAUGCCCUGCUUCCAGGAAAAGCCUCUAAGCAUCAGGUAACAUCAAAUCGUACCCCAAACCGACACAGGUGGUCAGGUAGAGAAUACCAAGGCGCUUGAGAGAACUCGGGUGAAGGAACUAGGCAAAAUGGUGCCGUAACUUCGGGAGAAGGCACGCUGACACGUAGGUGAAGUGAUUUACUCACGGAGCUGAAGUCAGUCGAAGAUACCAGCUGGCUGCAACUGUUUAUUAAAAACACAGCACUGUGCAAACACGAAAGUGGACGUAUACGGUGUGACGCCUGCCCGGUGCCGGAAGGUUAAUUGAUGGGGUCAGCGCAAGCGAAGCUCCUGAUCGAAGCCCCGGUAAACGGCGGCCGUAACUAUAACGGUCCUAAGGUAGCGAAAUUCCUUGUCGGGUAAGUUCCGACCUGCACGAAUGGCGUAAUGAUGGCCAGGCUGUCUCCACCCGAGACUCAGUGAAAUUGAACUCGCUGUGAAGAUGCAGUGUACCCGCGGCAAGACGGAAAGACCCCGUGAACCUUUACUAUAGCUUGACACUGAACAUUGAGCCUUGAUGUGUAGGAUAGGUGGGAGGCUUUGAAGCGUGGACGCCAGUCUGCGUGGAGCCGACCUUGAAAUACCACCCUUUAAUGUUUGAUGUUCUAACGUGGACCCGUGAUCCGGGUUGCGGACAGUGUCUGGUGGGUAGUUUGACUGGGGCGGUCUCCUCCUAAAGAGUAACGGAGGAGCACGAAGGUUGGCUAAUCCUGGUCGGACAUCAGGAGGUUAGUGCAAUGGCAUAAGCCAGCUUGACUGCGAGCGUGACGGCGCGAGCAGGUGCGAAAGCAGGUCAUAGUGAUCCGGUGGUUCUGAAUGGAAGGGCCAUCGCUCAACGGAUAAAAGGUACUCCGGGGAUAACAGGCUGAUACCGCCCAAGAGUUCAUAUCGACGGCGGUGUUUGGCACCUCGAUGUCGGCUCAUCACAUCCUGGGGCUGAAGUAGGUCCCAAGGGUAUGGCUGUUCGCCAUUUAAAGUGGUACGCGAGCUGGGUUUAGAACGUCGUGAGACAGUUCGGUCCCUAUCUGCCGUGGGCGCUGGAGAACUGAGGGGGGCUGCUCCUAGUACGAGAGGACCGGAGUGGACGCAUCACUGGUGUUCGGGUUGUCAUGCCAAUGGCACUGCCCGGUAGCUAAAUGCGGAAGAGAUAAGUGCUGAAAGCAUCUAAGCACGAAACUUGCCCCGAGAUGAGUUCUCCCUGAGACUUAGAGUCUCCUGAAGGAACGUUGAAGACGACGACGUUGAUAGGCCGGGUGUGUAAGCGCAGCGAUGCGUUGAGCU